UUUUGAUCGGUGUCCUCUCAACGGGGGGAGGAUGUUACGUUGCGUGAAAACGUCCGCGCGACGUCCUUCAUUGUCUGACCGGCAAGGUCCAAGCACCCAUAGAAAGCCCUCAAUAAACCUAAGGACCCACCAUAGUCUUUCACUUUCACUGUAUUGUAUCAACAUGUGUCUUCAGUCAAUCCGUUUGUCCUGAAGAAUUUCUUAAGCCUAAAAAUAUUUUCGAAUCACAUCUGGUUUUUAGAGAGGCCCCUGGGUUUAUUAGACGCACUUAAAAACACGGAGAAAGCGGGUGCGCACCUAUUAGGAAAAACCGAAUAGCUAUGUAACAAAACAAGCUGGUUUUUCCUAUGAACAAGAUCACCUACCAACC
rnacentral:misc_RNA from 1 species